ACGGGGUGCAGCAGGCGCGAAAACUUCACACUGGGGGCAACCCCGAUGAGGGAAAUCCUAGUGCUAGGACAUUUGUUCUAGCUUUUCUCAAGCGUAGAUAACUUGAGGAAUAAGGGCUGGGUAAGACGGGUGCCAGCCGCCGCGGUAAUACCUGCAGCCCAAGUGGUGGUCGAUUUUAUUGAGUCUAAAACGUUCGUAGCCGGUUUGGUAAAUCUUUGGGUAAAUCGGGAAGCUUAACUUUCCGACUUCCGAAGAGACUGUCAAACUUGGGACCGGGAGAGGCUAGAGGUACUUCUGGGGUAGGGGUAAAAUCCUGUAAUCCUAGAAGGACCGCCGGUGGCGAAGGCGUCUAGCUAGAACGGAUCCGACGGUGAGGGACGAAGCCCUGGGUCGCAAACGGGAUUAGAUACCCCGGUAGUCCAGGGUGUAAACGUUUGAAUACUAGGUGUCGGGGUACGAAGUACUUCGGUGCCGCAGCAAACGCAUUAAGUAUUCCACCUGGGGAGUACGUUCGCAAGAAUGAAACUCAAAGGAAUUGGCGGGGGAGCAC
rnacentral:rRNA from 1 species